UGAACGUCAGGGCGGGCGGAGGACCCGGCGCUGGGUGCUAAUUCCAGCCCUUUCUUGGCGGCUGCAUUUAAUCCCUGCCCUUCUUCUUCUUUAGCGACGCCAGUUCUCGGAGCAGAGAGGCUGGAAACAACUGCGGAGGACUCCGUCCCUGCCUCUGUUACACGCAUCUACCACUUCGCCACCUUCCGCACUUGGGGCCCCUCUCCUUGAUUAGGACCAAGUUAACACAGAGCCAGAGAAAGGACUGUGGGUUCCCUUAGCGUGUUUCAACAUCAUUGACUCCCUACGUUUUGGUCAG
rnacentral:lncRNA from 1 species